UACGAAGGGGGCUAGCGUUGCUCGGAAUCACUGGGCGUAAAGCGCACGUAGGCGGAUUGCUAAGUCAGGGGUGAAAUCCUGGAGCUCAACUCCAGAACUGCCUUUGAUACUGGCGAUCUUGAGUCCGGGAGAGGUGAGGGGAACUGCGAGUGUAGAGGUGAAAUUCGUAGAUAUUCGCAAGAACACCAGUGGCGAAGGCGGCUCACUGGCCCGGUACUGACGCUGAGGUGCGAAAGCGUGGGGAGCAAACAGG
rnacentral:rRNA from 1 species